GACGAACGCUGGCGGCGUGCCUAAUACAUGCAAGUCGAACGCAGUGGGGACGGGUGAGUAACACGUGGGUAACCUCCCAUCAGAGGGGAUAACACUUGGAAACAGGUGCUAAACCGAUACUGAUGGAUGGUCCCGCGGUGCAUUAGCUAGUUGGGUAGGUAACGGCACACCAAGGCCACGAUGCAUAGCCGGCCGAGGAGGGUGAUCGGCCACACUGGGACUGGUACACGACCCAGACUCCUACGGGGGGCAGCAGUAGGGAAUCUUCGGCAAUGGACGAAAGGCUGACCGAGCAACGCCGCGUGAGUGAAGAAGGUUUUCGGAUCGUAAAACUCUGUUGUUAGAGAAGCGGUAUCUAACCAGAAAGCCACGGCUAACUACGUGCCAGCAGCCGCGUAAUUC
rnacentral:rRNA from 1 species